GCUCUGGAGAAGCCCGCCCAGCGCGGGUGCCGAAGGUGUAACACAACGGAAUGGUUGUGGAUCUCUCAGGCCAAAGGACAGAGCUG
rnacentral:ncRNA from 1 species